rfam:Serratia marcescens subsp. marcescens Db11, complete genome
CUUGCUACUUGGGUCGCCUGUAGCAGG